UUGGGAGGGGCCCGCGUCCCAUCAGCUAGUUGGUAAGGUAAUGGCUUACCAAGGCGAUGACGGGUAGGGGACCUGAGAGGGUGGCCCCCCACAAUGGAACUGAAACACGGUCCAUACACCUACGGGUGGCAGCAGUAGGGAAUAUUAGUAAUGGGCGAAAGCCUGAACUAGCAACGCCGCGUGUGCGAAGAAGGCCUUCGGGUCGUAAAGCACUUUUUGAGAGGAUGAGGAAGGACGGUACUCUCAGAAUAAGUCUCGGCUAACUACGUGCCAGCAGCCGCGGUAACACGUAGGAGGCAAACGUUAUCCGGAUUUACUGGGCGUAAAGCGCGUGUAGGUGGUUUGGUAAGUAGGGCGUGAAAGCUCCUGGCUCAACUGGGAGAGGACGUUCUAAACUGCCAAGCUUGAGGAUGGUAGAGGGAGGUGGAAUUCCGGGUGUAGCGGUGGAAUGCGCAGAUAUCCGGAGGAACACCAGUGGCGAAGGCGGCCUCCUGGACCACUCCUGACACUCAGACGCGAAAGCUAGGGUAGCAAACGGGAUUAGAGACCCCGGUAGUCCUAGCCCUAAACGAUGUAGACUGGCGUCGGUGGUUUAAUCGCCAUCGGUGUCGUAGCUAACGCGAUAA
rnacentral:rRNA from 1 species